AGACCCGAAACCCGGUGAUCUAGCCAUGGGCAGGUUGAAGGUUGGGUAACACUAACUGGAGGACCGAACCGACUAAUGUUGAAAAAUUAGCGGAUGACCUGUGGCUGGGGGUGAAAGGCCAAUCAAACCGGGAGAUAGCUGGUUCUCCCCGAAAGCUAUUUAGGUAGCGCCUCGUGAAUUCAUCUCCGGGGGUAGAGCACUGUUUCGGCUAGGGGGCCAUCCCGGCUUACCAACCCGAUGCAAACUGCGAAUACCGGAGAAUGUUAUCACGGGAGACACACGGCGGGUGCUAACGUCCGUCGUGAAGAGGGAAACAACCCAGACCGCCAGCUAAGGUCCCAAAGUCAUGGUUAAGUGGGAAACGAUGUGGGAAGGCCCAGACAGCCAGGAUGUUGGCUUAGAAGCAGCCAUCAUUUAAAGAAAGCGUAAUAGCUCACUGGUCGAGUCGGCCUGCGCGGAAGAUGUAACGGGGCUAAACCAUGCACCGAAGCUGCGGCAGCGACGCUUAUGCGUUGUUGGGUAGGGGAGCGUUCUGUAAGCCUGUGAAGGUGGCCUGUGAGG
rnacentral:rRNA from 1 species